ensembl:rRNA 5S_rRNA 5S ribosomal RNA
GCCAGCAGCCAUAUCACCCUGCAACUCACAACUGGCAACCCACUGAAGCUAGGCAGGUGUGAGCCUGCUCAGAACCUGGAUGGGAGACCUCCUGAGAAAAACUAAGGUUGCUGCUGGAA